UUCAAUUUUCACUGAUAGACUGACCUUGAACAAACAUCUCUCUGGUUCUUUUAGACUAUAUUUUCCAGAAACUGUUUCUUUCUUACUAGUUAAUGUUGCUUUUUCUUUUUCAAUGUAUUUUUAAUUACUAGUUUUAGCAUUCAAGACUGCUGUGACGUUCCAUGUAAUCAAAAACACAAUUUUAUUAUGUGAGAGUAUAAAUACUAUGGCCACCCUAUGACACUAAUCAACUAAACCUCGUCAGAAAAACAGUAAAAAAAAAAAAAAAAAAAAUGCUUGUUUUGUGAAUUAAAUCCCUAGAUUUCAUGAGGUGGAAUUCAUUCAUUCAGACUCACCUACAGAUCUUUGUAAGAUUUUUUUUUUAAGUUUCACCACAUAUAUAGAGAAUUUAACAACAAAACAUGUGGGAUAUACUUUUAUUGCCUCUAGAGCUACAUUUUUAAAAAUAAAGUCUGAUUCUAUCAUCUGAUUAUUGAUUUAAUUCUUCUGCCACCAAAUGCCAACAGAGAUAAGGAAAGAGAGGUGUCACACAAGUAUCACCCAUUUUAUACAUUUUAUCAAAAUUUUCUAUUUCAAAGGUGAUUGCUACACCUUGCAAGCCUUUCUUUAUCAAACCUAACCAAAAAGCGAUCGGCAUGAAAUUGUGCAUUGACCAUACAGCCAAAGCUUGUCCUGACCUCUUGAUUUCCGUUUUUAAAAAUGUCUACAUUCUCUACAUAGAGUACUUUCAUACAAAAAAAAAAUUAAUGGCUACAAGCUUCCAACUACUUUCAAUUUUAUGUAUUUAAAUUACUGAGUUGGUGUUGGCACAUUCUUGUCCGUCACUCUUUUUUCUUAACUUGAAAAGGAUGUGACUGGUGCUUAAAACAUGGCUUGUUUUGUGCCUCUCCGCCCUGGUGUGGGUGCCUGUGUGGAUGUGUUUUAUCCCAGCUAGUUAUAUCCUGAUAACCUGAUAUCACACUGUGCUUUAGCACAAUAAUACAGUCAUCAAACUAAAGCAACCCAGUGAGCGGCCACAUUUACCAUCAUUUCACUUGAUCACUCGGGAGAGAUUAAACUUAUUCAUUUUUACUAUAGAUAAUCAAAUAUUAAAACAUGCUACAGUAAGGGGAGGUGGAAUUAUUGAGCUGUGGCACGCUUGUUGCCAAAACAGUAUCGUGUAUUCGAUGUGUAAGGCUCCUUGGCACGAUGUUUGGAGGAAUUUCAUCUGGUCUUUUUUUCUUCUCAUUUGCAUUUGGUUUAUCUAAAGUGAAAUCCACUCAAUUUUAUUGAACUGUAAUUCUAGUAAUUUACAAUAUUUACAUGCUGCGGUUAGAUUGAAAUCAGUCCUUAAUUCAAAUUCAAUCUAAAUUUACUGCAUAGUAAUUAGGGCUUCCUAACUGACACUGGGGGCCUAUUGAUUUAAUGAAAAACUUAACCUUACAGUAAGUGUUUAAUUAGCUGCUGCUGCAGUAGAUUCUGCUCUGUCCUAAAUUGUGGACUUUAGAGAAUCAGGUACUAAUUUAAAUUACACAACUAUAUAAAGAUCAGAACUAAUUUUUUUACAUGUAGCCUAACAGACGAAUUAAUUCCUUCCUCUUUGAAAAGGAUAAGGAAAAGAGUCAGUAAUGAAAGUAAUUUCCUACCCUGUCUAAUUUCAUGUAAGGCCAAGCUAGCUGUAACAGAAAUGAUUACCUAUGUCUGUUAAAUAUUGAUAUAGAGUUAUGAAAAUUAAAAUCUGAUAGUUUUUCUACCAGGAUUAUUUAGUACAUGGAAGAAAACAGAAACAACAUAACCUAUCUUAAAGCCCCAAAAUCUCUUUUCAUGGGAAGAAAUUUGAAGUAUUACCACAAAUAAAAUAAAGUAUUUUUUCCUUUAGGUAAUUUUAAGCAGUACACAAAAGUUUUUAGUUCAGCAAAGUAAUUAAUUCGUUGAUAAAUGAAAAUAUGGAUGGAAAUGGUAUUACGGAUAUUCUGUUUAUAUAAAUUUAAAUCAGAACAAACUUUUAAUUUUAGCUCAUACGUUUUCCUAAUUUAUUUUAAGUGUGGUAAUAGCCAUUGAGAUUAUGGCAGAUUUAAGCAGCGUGUUAACCUGGUAUGCACUACCAGAUCUAUAUGUACAAUUAAGUUUUUAAAGUGAGAAACAGCAAUGCUUCUAUAUAAAGUUGAGAUAUUAACAGCAAAGGAAAGAUAUCUGCUGGCUAUUAUCCAUCACAUGUCUAAUUUAUAUUAGAUGGACUGAAAGUACAGGGGAAAUAAGCCUUUCUUUUUCUUUUUUUUUCUUUUUCUUUUUCUCUUUUCCUUUUUCUUUUUCUUUAAAUAUCACUUAAAUUGUUUUAGUUCUUUUAGAAAACAAACUAACUAAAAUGUAAUUGAUGACAAGAAACAAAAGAAGAGAUUUGUUUUUCCACUUGGGAACUUUAGAUAUUUUAAUGUCCAUUUUCAAUUACGGAAGGCAUCCUAGGUAGGUAAUAUGGAAAACAUUAACACUUGAAAUUGGCAUGAAGAGAUAAUUAGUAUAGUUAAUACAUUCAUAUUGUGUUGGUGCCUGAGCACAGUGGGUGAGCCGAGCUCUUCAGUGUUGAUCAACAAUGAAUUCAUUUUAAAAUAUAUAAGCAAUGAAUGUAACAAAUGAAUACAAUGAAUAAUAAUAAUAAAUAGAAUCUUUUUAUGACUCCACAUGAUUGAAAGACUUGUUUAAAAUAAGCCAACUCUGACUCAAACUCGAAACACUUAAAGAUUUUUCAUUUGGAAACCUUAAUUUAUAUACAGAGCCAUGAGUGAAGAAUUCUGUUCUAAGAUUUAAAACUCUUAAUAUAAAGAGACCUUAAUAUGUCAUUCCAAAAUUUGAAAGAAGAAACUUGUGUAUGUGUGAGGUUAUUCAAGAUACAGUUUUGU
rnacentral:lncRNA from 1 species